GUCGUGAGAUGUUGGGUUAAGUCCCGCAACGAGCGCAACCCCUACUGUGUGUUGUAUCACUCACACGGGACUGCCGAGAGAAACUCGGAGGAAGGUGGGGAUGACGUCAAGUCAGCAUGGCCCUUACGUCCUGGGCUACACCCACGCUACAAUGGCCGGUACAACGGGAGGCGAAACCGCGAGGUGGAGCGAAUCCCUUAAAGCCGGUCUCAGUUCGGAUUGUAGGCUGCAACUCGCCUACAUGAAGCCGGAGUUGCUAGUAACCGCCGGUCAGCAUACGGCGGUGAAUAUGUUCCCGGGCCUUGUACACACCGCCCGUCACGUCAUGAAAGCUGGUAACACCCGAAGCCGGUGGGCCAACCGCAAGGAGGCAGCCGUCGAAGGUGGGAUCGGUGAUUGGGGACGAAGUCGUAACAAGGUAGCCGUACCGGAAGGUGCGGCUGGAUCACCUCCUUUCUAGGGAGAUCCGAGUCUCGAGCUUUUGGUGGGCUCGAGGCGUUGAUGGCUCCUAGGGUUGAUCGCCCGGUCGUUCGAGCUUCCCCGCCAGGUGGAGCUCGCUGAACCAUUCCGCAAGGAGUGCGACAGAGACCGAUCAGCGACCUGGAAAGAACACCGAAAUCGUUCGGACAUCUGCGAACACUGGUUCCUGUCACUCUUCAAGGGUCAAGGUGCAAGCCGCCGGCGGCGACGAAACGUCGUCAAGGACGGAUCGCCACCCGCCCCCGGCGGGCGUUUAGCUCAGCUGGUUAGAGCACUGCCCUGAUAAGGCAGAGGUCUCUGGUUCGAGUCCAGAAACGCCCACCAUCACUUGCCCAUCGCUCGGGGACGUAGCUCAGUUGGUAGAGCGUCUCCUUUGCAAGGAGAGGGUCAGGAGUUCGAGUCUCCUCGUCUCCACCAUCCGCCGCCAACGCCAACACGAAGAUCUCGGGACCAACCCGAGGACAACCAAGACUUCAGGCCCGCCUGUGCGGGCCAUCAUCGAACCCCUGAUCCGUGUCCUUCCGACGCUUCGGCAGGCCACCGACCAGCGGACCGCUGGACGACGUCGAGACCUUCGGGUCGAGCCGUCGGGAGGUCCCACCUCGGUGGGGCCGCACCUUAACAACUGGAUAGUGUUCGGCAGAAAUGAAGAAUCUUCGAUUUCGCCGAGUAGUCAAGGAAAUGAUCCCGAUCGAUCCCAACCGGUGACUGACCACCUGGUCAGAGGCUGGAGGGGGUCAAGCUACGAAGGGCACGGGGUGGAUGCCUUGGCGCCAAGAGCCGAUGAAGGACGUGGCAGGCUGCGAAAAGCUUCGGGGAGUCGCGAGCAGACAGUGAUCCGGAGAUGU
rnacentral:sRNA from 1 species